UGUGGGGCUGGCGCUGUUGGAUGAUGAGCGGUUGAGGUGUUGUUCAAAGGCUGGCAGGGGGCAUCCGAAAGUCAUUAAGUCCCGCAGUGAGGCAACAUCAUUCAUCAGGAAAACCAAAAGUAGCAACAGCAGCAAAACUUCCCGGCGGCCAGCAGCAGCAGCAGCGCGAAUGGCAAAAAGCUAUAGAAAAAAAAAGAAAGAAACUAACUUGAAAAACUCCGACGACGACCAGACACAUAUACGCAUUCAGCUUAGACUGGAGAAAAAGGAAAAUACCCGACAGCAGGAGCAGCCACAGCCACGGUUAUAAUAAUCUCGCGCAAGUCUCAACAACAAAAGGCACACACACGGUUUUGCAAUUGCUCUUGUCGUGUGGAGCUGCUGCCCUCCUGUCUGGGAUUCCACGCCAUUUCGCCCACGGAAAUCUCCGCGUGCUUAUUCCACCAGCGUCACAAAAAUCCCUUUUUUUUUUU